rnacentral:snRNA from 1 species
GUGCUCGCUUGGCAGCACACAUACUAAAAUUGGAAGGGUACAGAGAUUAGCAUGGCCCCUGUGCAAGGAU